UACGGAAGGUCCGGGCGUUAUCCGGAUUUAUUGGGUUUAAAGGGAGCGUAGGCCGGAGAUUAAGCGUGUUGUGAAAUGUAGAUGCUCAACAUCUGAACUGCAGCGCGAACUGGUUUCCUUGAGUACGCACAAAGUGGGCGGAAUUCGUGGUGUAGCGGUGAAAUGCUUAGAUAUCACGAAGAACUCCGAUUGCGAAGGCAGCUCACUGGAGCGCAACUGACGCUGAAGCUCGAAAGUGCGGGUAUCGAACAGG
rnacentral:rRNA from 3 species